UGGCUCUCGCAUCGAUGAAGAACGCAGCGAAAUGCGAUAAGUAAUGUGAAUUGCAGAAUUCAGUGAAUCAUCGAAUCUUUGAACGCACCUUGCGCUCCUUGGUAUUCCGAGGAGCAUGCCUGUUUGAGUGUCGUGAUAUUCUCAACCUUUAGAGUUUUUUCUCUUGAGGCUUGGAUUUGGGAGUAUUGCUGAACCCCCUUCGGGGUCCGGCUCUCCUUGAAUGCAUUAGCUGAACCCAAGUGACUGGAGUGGUUCACGGCGUUGAUACACUAUCUACGUCCUGAUAAUUCCCUCAAUUCACAAGUGUGGGUCUGGCUGACAAACUGUCUUUGGACAAUAUAACACUUAAGAUCUGACCUCAAAUCAGGUAGGACUACCCGCUGA
rnacentral:misc_RNA from 1 species